rnacentral:rRNA from 1 species
GGAUUGCCCUAGUAACGGCGAGUGAAGCGGCAACAGCUCAAAUUUGAAAUCUGGCCCUCGGGCCCGAGUUGUAAUUUGUAGAGGAUGCUUUUGGCGCGGUGCCUUCCGAGUUCCCUGGAACGGGACGCCAUAGAGGGUGAGAGCCCCGUCUGGUUGGACACCAAGCCUCUGUAAAGCUCCUUCGACGAGUCGAGUAGUUUGGGAAUGCUGCUCUAAAUGGGAGGUAUAUGUCUUCUAAAGCUAAAUACCGGCCAGAGACCGAUAGCGCACAAGUAGAGUGAUCGAAAGAUGAAAAGCACUUUGAAAAGAGAGUUAAAUAGCACGUGAAAUUGUUGAAAGGGAAGCGUUUAUGACCAGACUUGGGCUUGGUUGAUCAUCCCGCGUUCUCGCGGGUGCACUCUUCCGGCUCAGGCCAGCAUCAGUUCGCUGCGGGGGAUAAAGGCGUCGGGAAUGUGGCUCCCUCGGGAGUGUUAUAGCCCUUCGUGUAAUACCCUGCGGUGGACUGAGGACCGCGCUUCGGCAAGGAUGCUGGCGUAAUGGUCAUCAACGACCCGUCUUGAAACACGGACCAAGGAGUCGUCUUCGUAUGCGAGUGUUCGGGUGUCAAACCCCUACGCGUAAUGAAAGUGAACGCAGGUGAGAGCUUCGGCGCAUCAUCGACCGAUCCUGAUGUUCUCGGAUGGAUUUGAGUAAGAGCAUACGGGGCCGGACCCGAAAGAAGGUGAACUAUGCCUGUAUAGGGUGAAGCCAGAGGAAACUCUGGUGGAGGCUCGCAGCGGUUCUGACGUGCAAAUCGAUCGUCAAAUAUGGGCAUGGGGGCGAAAGACUAAUCGAACCUUCUAGUAGCUGGUUUCCGCCGAGC